UACAGAGGUCCCAAGCGUUGUUCGGAUUCACUGGGCGUAAAGGGUGCGUAGGCGGUCGGGUAAGUCUGAUGUGAAAUCUCACAGCUUAACUGUGAAACUGCAUUGGAUACUAUCCGGCUCGAGGAAUGGAGGGGAGACUGGAAUACUUGGUGUAGCAGUGAAAUGCGUAGAUAUCAAGUGGAACACCAGUGGCGAAGGCGAGUCUCUGGGCCGAGAUUGACGCUGAGGAGCGAAAGCGUGGGGAGCGAACAGG
rnacentral:rRNA from 1 species